GAUGAACGCUGGCGGCGUGCCUAAUACAUGCAAGUCGAGCGAACAGAUGAGGAGCUUGCUCCUCUGACGUUAGCGGCGGACGGGUGAGUAACACGUGGAUAACCUACCUAUAAGACUGGGAUAACUUCGGGAAACCGGAGCUAAUACCGGAUAAUAUAUUGAACCGCAUGGUUCAAUAGUGAAAGACGGUUUUGCUGUCACUUAUAGAUGGAUCCGCGCCGCAUUAGCUAGUUGGUAAGGUAACGGCUUACCAAGGCAACGAUGCGUAGCCGACCUGAGAGGGUGAUCGGCCACACUAGAACUGAGACACGGUCCAGACUCCUACGGGAGGCAGCAGUAGGGAAUCUUCCGCAAUGGGCGAAAGCCUGACGGAGCAACGCCGCGUGAGUGAUGAAGGUCUUCUGAUCGUAAAACUCUGUUAUUAGGGAAGAACAAAUGUGUAAGUAACUAUGCACGUCUUGACGGUACCUAAUCAGAAAGCCACGGCUAACUACGUG
rnacentral:rRNA from 1 species